AUGGAUAUAACUCAGCAGUAGAGCAUCACUUUGACGUGGUGGAAGUAUCAGCUCGAGCCUGAUUAUCCUUA
rfam:Gossypium raimondii Chr13_contig_825, whole genome shotgun sequence.